rnacentral:tRNA from 1 species
GCGCGAGUGGCUCAGCGGUGGAGCAUCUCCUUGCCAAGGAGAGGGUCGCGGGUUCGAUUCCCGUCUCGCGCUC